rnacentral:lncRNA from 1 species
AAACAACAAAACUACAGGCCCCCCAACCUCGAAAUUUGACAACAUAACCCAUCAUCCACGCCUCUAGGUUGAUACAACAAAAAGAAAAGAAAAAUAAAGUCCUAAUUAGAGGGAGAGCAAUAAUUGUUUUUAUAAAAUUGCUGCCAGUUAGAGGACUAAUCUCUGCCCACUUGGUCUCCUAGCAACCAACUCAGCCCAGGGGACAGGCAGACUUAGGCCUCGGCCUGUUCCACAGAUUAUCUAAUUUGCACUGGAUUAUAUGGCAGUGUAGACUCAAGGCCCUUCCACACAGCUAUAUAACCCAUUUAUAAUCUUAUAUUAUCUGCUUUGCUAUGAAUUAUCUGGACUCCACACUGCCAUAUAAUCCACUUCAGUGUGCAUUAAGAAGGGGCCUCAUAUAAUCCAGUUCUAAGCAGAUAAUAUAAGAUUAUAAAUAUAAUAUGUAAUAAUUACUGUGAUAUAGAAUCAUAGAAUCAUAGAAUAGUAGAGUUGGAAGACACCUCAUGGGCCAUCCAGUCCAACCCCAUUCUGCCAAGAAGCAGGAAAUCGCAUUCAAAGCAAUUACUAAUAAUACAGAACAAUAUAAUCUCUAAAAUCAGGACAGUAAAUAAAGAGCAACACUCUGAAAGCAUAAGCCACAGCAACUCGUGGCCGGGCAAAGCUAGUAUAUAAUCUAUAUAUAUAAAAGAGUGAUGGCAUCACGGCAAUUCACAAAACAACAAAAGUACAGACCCCCCAACCUCAAAAUUUGACAACACAACCCAUCAUCCAUGCCUCAAGGUUGAUACAACAACAAGACAAGGAAAAUAAAGUCCUAAUUAGAGGGAGAGCAAUAAUUUUUUUUAUCCAAUUGCUGCCAGUUUAGAGGGCUAAUCUCUGCCCAUUUGGUUGCCUAGCAACCAAGGGACAGCCAGGUUUCAGUUAGGGGACAGGCAGAUUUAGGCCUCAGACUUCUUCCACAGAUUAUCUAAUUUGCACUGGAUUAUAUGGCAGUGUAGACUCAAGGCCCUUCCACACAGCUAUAUAACCCAUUUAUAAUCUUAUAUUAUCUGCUUUGCACUGGAUUAUCUUGACUCCGCACUGCCAUAUAAUCCACUUCAGUGGGCAUUUUAUACAGCUGUGAAGAAGGGGCCUCAUAUAAUCCAGUUCUGAGCAGAUAAUAUAAGAUUAGAAAUAUACAGUAGAGUCUUACUUAUCCAACGUAAACAGGCCGGCAGGAUAAGUGAAUAUUUUGGAUAAUAAGAAGGGAUUCAGGAAAAGCCAAUUAAACAUCAAAUUAGGUAAUCGUUAUACAAAUUAAGCACCAAAACAUCAUAUUAUACAACAAAUUUGACAGAAAAAGUAGUUCCAUGCGCAGUAAUGCUAUGUAGUAUUUACAGUAGAGUCUCACUUAUCCAACACUAGCUUAUCCAAUGCAUUUUUGUAGUCAAUGCUUUCAAUAUAUCGUGAUAUUUUGGUGCUAAAUUCAUAAAUACAGUAAUUACUAUAUAGCAUUACUGUGUACUGAACUACUUUUUCUGACAAAUUUGUUGUCUAACAUGAUGUUUUGGUGCUUAAUUUGUAAAAUCAUAACUUAAUUUGAUGUUUAAUAGGGUUAUCCUUAAUUCCUCAUUAUCCAACAUAUUCGCUUAUCCAACGUUCUGCCGGCCCGUUUAUGUUGGAUAAGUGAGACUCUACUGUACUGUAUUUACAAAUUUACCACUAAAAUAUCACAAUGAAUUUAAAACACUGACUACAAAAACAUUGAUUAUGAAAAGGCAGACUGCGUUGGAUAAUCCAGAACAUUGUAUAAGCGAAUGUUGGAUAAGUGAGAUUCUUCUUUAAUAUGAAAUAAUUACUGGGAUAGAAUAAUGCAGAACAAUAUAAUCUCUAAAACCAGGACAGUAAAUAAACAGGGGAAUUCCACACAGGAAACAAUCGGGGCCAGCUAACACCUCCCAACAAAGUAUUCCCAUCAUCAAAGUCUGGCAAAUCCUGUUUUCUCAGGGCCA